UACGGGGGGGGCAAGCGUUGUUCGGAAUUACUGGGCGUAAAGGGUGCGUAGGCGGUCCGCUAAGUUGGAUGUGAAAACUCUGGGCUUAACCCAGAGCCUGCAUUCAAAACUGACGGGCUAGAGUUCUGGAGGGGGUAACGGAAUUCCUGGUGUAGCGGUGAAAUGCGUAGAUAUCAGGAGGAACACCGGUGGCGAAGGCGGCUACCUGGACAGAAACUGACGCUGAGGCACGAAAGCUAGGGGAGCAAACAGG
rnacentral:rRNA from 1 species